GCGUUCUGCCUUUUCGCCGCUGGACUCCGGAGUAUUAGGAUAUGUGUAUCCUGGUGGUGGUACUCAGGCUUCAAGGCCUACCCUCCCCUCACCAUGUGGGGUAGGAACACAACGUGGCGGGUCCGAUCAUCAGUGAUGGUCGCCUGCUGUCGUCCUUUAGCUCCACCUCGAGCGGCUGGAUUGUGAAUGUGUCCUGUCCCUCAUUGUAUUAAAAUGAGUGAUCUCUAUUGGUCUGUGCCCCAGAUGUAUACACUUUGAACCAAGUGGAAGAGUUGAAGUCUAUAUCCAGAGCAUGCCAUCUGAGUGCACAUUUGAGGAUUAAACGAGUUUGGAGCUGACCUGCAUAGUGAACAAGGUUGGAUUUGAAGAUGUGGAAGAUUUCUGCAAUGUAGUUUGAUUAAUUGCUUAAUAAAUCUCUUUUUUAA